rnacentral:rRNA from 1 species
GUGCCAGCCGCCGCGGUAAUACGAAGGGUGCAAGCGUUACUCGGAAUUACUGGGCGUAAAGCGUGCGUAGGUGGUCGUUUAAGUCCGUUGUGAAAGCCCUGGGCUCAACCAGGGAACUGCAGUGGAUACUGGGCGACUAGAGUGUGGUAGAGGGUAGCGGAAUUCCUGGUGUAGCAGUGAAAUGCGUAGAGAUCAGGAGGAACAUCCAUGGCGAAGGCAGCUACCUGGACCAACACUGACACUGAGGCACGAAAGCGUGGGGAGCAAACAGGAUUAGAUACCCUGGUAGUCCACGCCCUAAACGAUGCGAACUGGAUGUUGGGUGCAAUUUGGCACGCAGUAUCGAAGCUAACGCGUUAAGUUCGCCGCCUGGGGAGUACGGUCGCAAGACUGAAACUCAAAGGAAUUGACGGGGGCCCGCACAAGCGGUGGAGUAUGUGGUUUAAUUCGAUGCAACGCGAAGAACCUUACCUGGCCUUGACAUGUCGAGAACUUUCCAGAGAUGGAUUGGUGCCUU